GGCGGGUGGAAGGGGUCUGAGACAAAAACGAGGGAAGACCCGAGAAAUCGGUCCCCGCCGACACGUAGUAAGUGCAACUGGGUGACAGAAAUGUGAGCUGACGGGAGAUCGCGACGACAGAGAAAGAAAGCAUGUGGAGGCCACGCAGGCGGAGACCACACAGAGGGGGGCAAAAAGAACCGACCAACUCCACGGUCAACGGGAACGGCUCGCUGCAGGGAACUCGGGAAGAGCGGAGGGGCCUCUGGACAAACUGGACGCUUACUGGGUUUUGCACGAGGAAAUAUAAAAGAGUAUUGUCUAAGCCCGCUGUUUGCUGUUGAAACUUUAAGUGUAUUUUCAUAAAAAAAAAAUGGAAGAUGGAAUUAAACAAAGAGACUCGA